rfam:Streptomyces caeruleatus strain NRRL B-24802 genomic scaffold PRJNA299234_s023, whole genome shotgun sequence.
CGUGCGCACGCGCCGAAUCCCGCAAGGGAACCGGGGAACCACCACCUUGGGGUGAAUCGCACGGAUACCGCCGGGAACUCACGGCCGGUAUACGCGCGUAGGAGACCUUCCUGCUCCGAACCCGUCAGCUAACCCGGUAGGCGAGAAGGAAGGAAAGG